UGCGCAGGCGGUUGAGUAAGACAGAUGUGAAAUCCCCGAGCUUAACUCGGGAAUGGCAUAUGUGACUGCUCGACUAGAGUGUGUCAGAGGGAGGUGGAAUUCCACGUGUAGCAGUGAAAUGCGUAGAUAUGUGGAAGAACACCGAUGGCGAAGGCAGCCUUCUGGGACAUAACUGACGCUCAGGCACGAAAGCGUGGGAGCAAACA
rnacentral:rRNA from 1 species